GGUGAAACAACAACCACGUGUGUAUUAUUUACACAUACGUACAGCUAUAGAUUAGGUACCUGUGUGCAGUACCGGUAUGGUACCGAGCAUUUAUAGUUUAAUAAUAACAUAUUUUUAUUAAUGCAUGUACCUUAUAGCAUGAAAAAAUCAUUUAAUCGCAUUUGGUUCGCCUUUAAACGUGUGAAUUUUAAACCUUGAAAUUCCGACUGGGGAUCAGGAUUCAUAUAUAGUUUCGAGCACCCGGGAUCCUGGCAGUGACCAGUACGUCAUAAGUAACAGAGAGGUUCCAAGAAGCGUGGAGCUCUGGGCCAGUGAUCUUGGGUGUGUUUUGGGAGAGAGGGGAGGAUUUAAGUGGGGAGGAGUGUAACAGGAGCAGCUUUCCAGUGCUUAUACUAGCAGUAGCUAGUGGAAAUUUCCCUUUAGCUCCGUUGGUAGAGCGCUGGACGUCGGCUGCGGAGACCCAAGUUCGAAUCCUUGUGUCACCCACGUAGGGAAAUUCUUCAGCGAUUACAUAAGUACAUUGUGCAUGAAGUAGGACCAUACAAUGUGCACUCUCAUCAAAUGCGCUGUGAAGUUCACGCUGUCAACUCUAAAGUCACAUCGAUGCACCUUGUCAAAAACUCAGGCUUGUUAUCCCCUUCAUAUGGAGCCCACCAAUUCUCUAAGCUGAUGUGUCUAACUACUCAGUGCUCACAAGUGGUGGAGCUGUGCAAGCUUGUUCUUGGAGAGUUCAACAUUGACUGAUACAGGGGGUACAGUUCCAAUAACUUCAGUGUUAUCUGUCGCCGUAAACCAGUGUUCAACCAUUUUCAGCAAUACAGUUCCACAAGAGCGUAAGAGGGGCAAAAACCACAUUUAUUUUUGCUCAAUAAUUUAAAAUUUGAGAGAUACUCGUAUAAACAGUUAUGUAAAUGUCGUUCAGUGAUUUUUGAAAAACUG